CAUGACUUUACUUAGUCACAUCCUCACAGUAAUUUCUCUAAACUGGAAUAUUACAUGUGGCCCUGUUCACCCCCUAUACAAAUCUGCCAGUUGGAACCUUUCCAGUGCGGUAAGAUGGCUCCUUGUUUCCUCAGGGAACUCUUUUACCAGCGCACCCCGGGAGUGGGCACAGGUGUGUAAGGCACAGGUAAGUGUUUGUUUGUCAGAUUCACAUCAGAUUGAACUUCAGAUUACACCUUUCCUGUUUUAAUCGGCACACAAAUCUACUCGGACUUUUCCAACUUCUACCAUUUCUGUCUCUCAGGUGGUUCGGCUAAAUCCACACGAACAAGAGAUCCUCUGUGAGAAACUCAUUAACCAAA